GUAGGGAAUAUUGGGCAAUGGUCGGAAGACUGACCCAGCCAUGCCGCGUGCAGGAAGACGGCCCUCUGGGUUGUAAACUGCUUUUAUCUGGGAAGAAAAAGGCCAUGCGUGGCAAAUUGCCGGUACCAGAUGAAUAAGCACCGGCUAACUCCGUGCCAGCAGCCGCGGUAAUACGGAGGGUGCGAGCGUUGUCCGGAUUUAUUGGGUUUAAAGGGUGCGUAGGCGGCUGAUUAAGUCAGCGGUGAAAGACUUCGGCUUAACCGGAGCAGUGCCGUUGAUACUGGUUGGCUUGAGUGUCGGAGGGGUACAUGGAAUUGAUGGUGUAGCGGUGAAAUGCAUAGAUACCAUCAGGAACACCGAUAGCGAAGGCAUUGUACUGGCCGACAACUGACGCUGAUGCACGAAAGUGUGGGGAGCAAACAGGAUUAGAAACCCGAGUAGUCC
rnacentral:rRNA from 1 species